GAUGAAGAACGUAGCGAAAUGCGAUACGUAGUGUGAAUUGCAGAAUUCAGUGAAUCAUCGAAUCUUUGAACGCACAUUGCACCUCUCGGUAUUCCGGGAGGUAUGCCUGUUCGAGCGUCAUUUGUACCCUCAAGCUCUGCUUGGUGUUGGGUGUUUGUUCCGCCUCUGUGUGUGAUCUCGCCUCAAAACAAUUGGCAGCCGGCGUACUUGUUUCGGAGCGCAGCACAUUUUGCGAUCCAGAUCAACGUACAGCGGCAUCCAAGAAGCCUUAUUUAACGCUCUUGACCUCGGAUCAGGUAGGGAUACCCGCUGAACUUAAGCAUAUCAAUAAGCGGAGGA
rnacentral:misc_RNA from 1 species